UACGUAGGGACCAAGCGUUGUUCGGAUUUACUGGGCGUAAAGGGCGCGUAGGCGGCGUGUUAAGUCAGCUGUGAAAUCUCCGAGCUUAACUCGGAAACUGCCGUGGAUACUAUCAAUCUUGAAUACUGUGGAGGUAAGCGGAAUAUGUCAUGUAGCGGUGAAAUGCUUAGAUAUGACAUAGAACACCGAUAGCGAAGGCAGCUUGCUACACAGUCAUUGACACUGAGGCACGAAAGCGUGGGGAGCAAACAGG
rnacentral:rRNA from 1 species